UGCUGGCUAAAUGGAGGGAAGGGAACGAGCAAAGAUUAUUCAAUCCAUUACCUCGGUUGUCGUCGUCGUCAUCUUGGCAGUGUUCGUUCUGGUUCUAUCCAUUGAUAACAAGUGCGGGGCUUGCAAUGCCGUCGUGGGCGAGAUUGAGCUUGGACUUUUGAGAGCUUUGUGUUCUGCUGCCAGAGUAUAUCUAUGCUUCUCCAUCAAUUGGAUGAUUAGCUUGCAAGGAAAUCAAAUUUAAUGGAUGCUAAUCAAGUCCUGUGAUUUUUGUGAGAGCUCUGUUCACCAACCAGACUACAGAGACAUCAAUUGGAAACUUAAUGCAACCAUGUGGCAAUCUGUAUGGUAUUGGUGGAAGUGAUUCUAAGUUUCUCAUUUUUAAAUAUUGAUGUUGGCUGGUUUACCUUGUGACACUUAUGGCAGUAUGCAGCAUCUUUGACUAGUGGUUCCUUCGAUGAAGCACGGAUGCUUAAGAAUGUUGAAGCAUGUGAAUGGUUAACAGUGAGGACAGUUGAAGAGGCCUGAUCAUGCAGAUUUGAGGUACAAAUGUCGGACCUAUGCACGGCUUCUGCAGCACUUGAAGAGUCUGGACAAGGACUGUUUGGGCCCUUUGAGAAAGGCUUACUGUCAUUCCCUCAACUUGCUACUUCGUC